rnacentral:rRNA from 1 species
UACAGAGGGUGCGAGCGUUAAUCGGAAUUACUGGGCGUAAAGCGCGCGUAGGCGGCUUUGCAAGUCGGGUGUGAAAUCCCCAGGCUUAACCUGGGAACUGCAUUCGAGACUGCAUUGCUAGAGUAUGGGAGAGGGAAGUGGAAUUUCCGGUGUAGCGGUGAAAUGCGUAGAUAUCGGAAGGAACACCGACGGCGCAGGCAGCGUCCUGGCCGCUUGCUGACACUGAGGCACGAAAGCUGGGGGAGCAAACAGG